rnacentral:rRNA from 1 species
GACGAACGCUGGCGGCGUGCUUAACACAUGCAAGUCGAACGGAAAGGCCCUGCUUUUGUGGGGUGCUCGAGUGGCGAACGGGUGAGUAACACGUGAGUAACCUGCCCUUGACUUUGGGAUAACUUCAGGAAACUGGGGCUAAUACCGGAUAGGAGCUCCUGCUGCAUGGUGGGGGUUGGAAAGUUUCGGCGGUUGGGGAUGGACUCGCGGCUUAUCAGCUUGUUGGUGGGGUAGUGGCUUACCAAGGCUUUGACGGGUAGCCGGCCUGAGAGGGUGACCGGCCACAUGGGGACUGAGGGACGGCCCAGACUCCUACGGGAGGCAGCGGGGGGGAGUAUUGCACAAUGGGGGGAAGCCUGAUGCAGCAACGCUGCGUGCGGGAUGACGGCCUUCGGGUUGUAAACCGCUUUCGCCUGUGACGAAGCGUGAGUGACGGUAAUGGGUAAAGAAGCACCGGCUAACUACGUG